GCGUCGUUCACAACCUUUUGCAUUGAUUUGCUUUUUUUGCAAUCUACUUGCCUGGAAAAUUUGCUUCCCUUUCGGAAAGCGGCCUGCUUGAUCUGAUCCCAACUGGUGCUUUGUUUUUGGACUCAUGUGAUUUUCAUUGGUCAAAACAAAUACCAUGCACAGGGCUGUUCAUAAGUGUAUAUACGUGGAGGAUUCUAAAAGGUACUCAGAUAGCAGUCAACUCCGGGGCGGAUCCGCUCUUACACGGCUUGAAAAGAGUUUUGAAUGAGACGACGAGCCGAUCAACCUUGAGGCAAAUGUUUGUUUGGUGACUGAUUUGAAGGACGAAAGAGUGGACAGGGCUGUCAAAAAUGCAGAGGAACCUGGCCCUGACUUGAAGAUGUUUGACAGCAGAGUUAUAUCAUACGGUUAUUAUUUGGAGGCGAGACAAAGGAUGACAAAAUAAAUGCACAUCCAGUCUACAUUAGGAAGAGGCAAUUCCUAUGAAGAGAAAGCCAAUGCAUAUACUUUUUUCAUCACAGUCCUUCAGUGUUAUAUUGUGACUAUUUUUCUAAACCCCUUUAUAGCCAUUUCAUUCGGGACUCUGAUGAUGACAGCGAGAAGGAAAAUCCUCUCAAAAAAGCCAGAGGUCCAAUCACCAGUGACACAGCCUUCAACCUUUCCCCUCCACCUCCCAAAGGUCCGACCACUAGCGAGACAGUGGCCCCUCCUCCAUCUUUUCCACGUACUCCCUCACUUCGACAUCUGGACAGUGGAAGAUCAGCAGAAGAAACACCUUCAACAAGAUUCCCUUCCUGGCAACCAUCAGAGGACAUGACACAAAACGGGUUAGCUGAUUGGAAGCACAUCGUCCUGUCCUCUGUAAUAAGAAGAUCCUUUGAGUGCCUUAUCCUGUCUCCCCUGAAACCUUUACCGGUCCCCUCCUGGACACAGUGCUGUUAGCCUACAGAGUCGAAAGGGCUGUAGACGACGCUGUCAACUUGGGCCUUCAUUUCAUUCUCCAGCAUCUGGACUCGCCAGGAACCUGCGCCACCAUUUUGUUUGUUGACUUCAACUCUGCAUUCAACACCAUCAUCUUGUCUAUACUGCAUGACAAACUCUCCUGGCUGUGCAUGCCCAACUCCACCUGCAAGUGGAUCAUUGACUUUGUCUCUGGCAGAAAGCAGGGUGUGAGACUGGGAAAGUGUCCAUCAGCACCAGUUCUGCCCAAGGCUGCGUUUUUUUCCCCUUUACAAUACUCUGUGUACACCUACACCUCCGGUCACCAGCCCGUCAAGCUCCUAAAGUUUGCAGAUUACAACACCUCAUUGGCCACCCCUCGUCACUCAAUAAAUGGCUUCUGAUUUUCAAGUUCAAUAGUCUUCAAAACCCUCG